AUGAACGCUGGCGGCGUGCCUAAUACAUGCAAGUCGCGCGAACAGAUAAGGAGCUUGCUCCUUUGACGUUAGCGGCGGACGGGUGAGUAACACGUGGGUAACCUACCUAUAAGACUGGAAUAACUCCGGGAAACCGGGGCUAAUGCCGGAUAACAUUUAGAACCGCAUGGUUCUAAAGUGAAAGAUGGUUUUACUAUCACUUAUAGAUGGACCCGCGCCGUAUUAGCUAGUUGGUAAGGUAACGGCUUACCAAGGCAACGAUACGUAGCCGACCUGAGAGGGUGAUCGGCCACACUGGAACUGAGACACAGUCCAGACUCCUACGGGAGGCAGCAGUAGGGAAUCUUCCGCAAUGGGCGAAAGCCUGACGGAGCAACGCCGCGUGAGUGAUGAAGGUCUUCGGAUCGUAAAACUCUGUUAUUAGGGAAGAACAAAUGUGUAAGUAACUGUGCACGUCUUGACGGUACCUAAUCAGAAAGCCACGGCUAACUACGUG
rnacentral:rRNA from 1 species